ensembl:lncRNA
GAGAAAGGAAAAGUCCGAGCUGUCACGGAGCAAAAACGGGAGCUGGAAGCAUGUAAAUAUAAUAAUAACCACUGCAGCCAAGAAGAGUGCCUGACGAGCCCAUUUAGAAUACAAAGUGGAUAGAGGAGGUCUGGAUGGAUAUGAGUCUCCUUUACAACACAUGAGAGGUCUACAUUUCCUUCACACAGGUCCGGAUUGUGGGAGCAGCACUCUAUGCAUAGAUGCCCGUACAGAUCCACCUCCCUCAGCUUUUCCUAGGGCACACCAAGGCGGAUUAAUCAAUCUGUUUAUUAUUGUGGGAAAAAAAAUG